CCAAAACUGCACACAACUCCUGGACAGUGCUUCCCCUGUCAGAUUGCCCAUCACAGAAGUCUUACUCCCAAGAUACAAUGCUUUGCUGUUGCUGUGCUCAAAAAGCUGCUGCGAUUACUUCUUACAGAGAGGCUUAAGCAGACAAAUGUGUCCAGCUCUGGGUCAUUCCUGGAGCAUGGUACAAUUUCUCAGACUGGGAAGAAGCAUUACAGAGCUGCAGAGGGCAUUGCCGAAGGACAGAUUCUCUGUUAUGGCCUGAGAUGUGACAGCUCUGCUCCCAUUAGACAUGUCCUGGAUCAGAUCAGAGAUCUGUCUAGCCUGAUAUCUUCUUCCUGGCAGGACAUGCCUGGGGAAGGAUGGACAAAGUCAGCUGACAGAAUCUAGUGUGCAGGCAGGAAUGUCUUGAGUUUGGCACUGUGCCUCUAUUUUUAAUAACCUUCUGUGGAUUUCAUCCUUUCUGAUUUUGACUCAUCACCAUCUGAGCCCAUGAAGACUCCUGGUGUUGCUACACCUUCUGAAGGUGCAGCUGGAUGGAAGACCUCUGCCCUGGGCUAGGAGGUCCCUUGGAAGGGCCAGAGAUGCCAGAUGUAUCCAGACUGUGAAUCUGCUGUUCUUAAGGCAGAGAGGAGCAGUGGCACACAACUGAGAACCAGGUGUCAAGG